UGGGGGGUCGGCUAACGGUAGGCCAGCAGACUUUGACUCUGCCAGUGAUGGUUCGAUCCCAUCCCUCCCAGCCA
rnacentral:tRNA from 1 species